rnacentral:rRNA from 1 species
UACANACCGCCCGUCACACCAUGAGAGCUGUUUGUACCCGAAAUUGCCUUAGCUAACCCGUAAGGGAGGCGGGCACCUAAGGUAUGGAUGGUGAUUGGGGUG